UAUAUUUUUGCCAUCUUGAAAAAAUUCCAACAUUAAGUCAAACAACAUUGUUUUUCUUUUGAAAUUAUUUUUAGUCAAUCUCACGCGAUUUAUUCAACACUUGUUUUAUUUGUUUACCGACUCGGCUCACGUACUCAAGCGUCUUAUCAGCUACGUGCACGAAAACAUCAAACGACAGCUGUUCAGUUCGAAAGUGCGCUUAUCGCUUACAGCAAUUAUCAAACAAAACAUAUGCUCAUGCAUUCGAAUACAGGCUAAUUAAUGUAAUCUCUUGCUUUGGUAGCGAUUUUUUAUUGAAAUCAAUUAGUUUUUAAACUAUAAUUAAAUAGUUGUGUUGAACAUAUGGUGUGCUGCUACUGGUGCUUCUAGAAAACAGGUGCGCUGAUAAGCCGAACUUAACUUUGAAUUCACUUUUCUAUCCUUUAUAUUUAUUAUAUAUUUAUUUUAUUUAUUAUUUACUUAUAUUGUUUUGUGUGCUUAGUCUCUGACGCAGUUUGUUUACUCCUGUUGCUAGUCAAGUGAGCAAUUGUUUGCGGAAUAGAAUAAAAAACUUUUGAAAUAUAAACAGUAAGCGAAGACACACUAGUCGUACUUGACAACAAGCAAAGCAGAGGUGGAUUGGCAGUGGAAAAGAACCGCAGUGAUAUUCAGAAAAAUCUUCUUCAGCUUAAUGGUGCUGGUCCACCCUUAAACAGGCUUCCUUUUAACAUCCACGCCGCUAAGCAAGACAAACAAAACCAAAGCACAAUUUCUGAAAUGAGCAAUAUAUUUGUUGUUGUUGUUGUUGUUAUUGCUGCAUAACAGCGGCUGUUGUGGUUUACAUAGUGCGGCUGCAUUGUUUUCGCCGAGUUACUUUGGACUGCAGUUUACCCAAGACAGAGACAGCGAUCGGCUGAGUGGAGCGGCAAGUGUGUAAAGAGGAAGCGCGAAGUUGACACAAAAUGUUCGACAAGGCAAGUGCUUGUGUGGCAGCUAGCUGGAGUGUCUUUAAAUGUGCAACAACAACAAUAAAAACAACAGCGAAGUAAAGCCGAAGUGCUUAUGUUGAACACGGCGUUGCAGCGAAAAAUAAGUAAACAGCAACAAAAGCAAAAGCGCAUUGAAUGACUCGAGACGUGUUGCAACACGCCGAGGCACUUGAAAAAUCUACGGAAGUGCAAAACUCUGCUCGGUGGCGGUGAAAAUGGCAAAACUUUUGGGUAGCUGACACAGCAAAAGUGUGUGCGAAACAGAAGUGGCUGCCUGCCGGUGGUGCUUCUCAGCCGCUGUCGCUGGAAGAGUAGUUCUCAAGAAAACACACAAUUUGCAUUUGACGAGAGCGGAUUUCUUUUAAUUUCGCAUUGCACUGUGCCUUGCAUUUUGUCUCAAAGAAAACAAACGUUUUCUGGAGAAUUUAACUUUGUGUUGCUGCGGUUGCGGGGAGUUAAUGUGGCGAAUGUGGUAGGCAAGGUGAAAGAAAGAGUGUCUACUAUUAAUGGUGAACAUGUAAAUAAGUAGAAAUAUUAUUGUAUUUAGGCGCACUUAGAACAACAACAAAUAUAACUGUUGUAACAAACAACAACAAAAAUAACUACGGUUAAUUGUUAAUUGACCACAAGCAGCAGCAGCAGCAAACGAAGCAGCACAGUAAUUACAACAAAAAUAAGUGCAAGGAAAUAUGUACAACAACCAGAAAUAGUUAAUGAAAAUAAAAACAAAACACAAACAA